CACUUCAUAAUCCCCCAAAACCCUUCUGGUGACACCUUAGCAACAACAGCCACUGGAUAGAAUUUAUGUGAUCACAAGAAUGCAGUCUGCUUGCGGCCCACGAAGACUCAAAGGUGAAGUAUUUAUCACACGUUGAGAUGGAAGAACUGCAUGUGCAUAGAAACAGAGCCUGUGAGGAAACAAGGAAGGACUAAUCUGAGCCUUCUCCACAGAACUGAAUAAGGCUAUUUCAGAAGGAAACCAUUCCUCCUGGGUCUGUUUUAAAGCAUGGCCAGAAUCUCCAAAACUUGCCCUCAUCAAGAGAGGAGGAAUAAACACUCACAAGUCCAGAGUCACUGUGUCAAGAGUCCAACAACCCUGCAGCCACCAUGCUUGGAACACAGAGAGGUUCUAUCUUGGGGAAACUGCGGACAGAGCUACAUCCUCACUUGCAACUGGUGGCCUGAAGCAGAAAUGAAGUGUCAACCCCAGCCUGACAGACCACACUCGAGAGAUCAGUUCCAAGUUUGUUUGAUAUUGACCCCUGGGUUAACUAGAAACUCACAGAGCCCAAGGUUUGAUGGCAGCUGAUUCCACUGUCACACAAGGAUUUCCAGAAGAGCUACCUGAAAUGACGGACCACAAUGCUAAGGCUACUGGCUGAGAAGUUUCUGAGGAAUCUGCUUAGGAAACUGACUACAUCUCACAAAUGCCAGAUUAGUAUUUGUCUUCCUUUCUCAGAUGUCCUGAAGGUGGAGUUCUUAGUUGCAUGUCAGAAAUAGGAGGAAGGGAAUCGGGUGUGGGGGGGGAACACCACAGGAACUUGGCCUCCCUGCAGGGUCCAGCUCUUCUUGGCCAUUUCAGUUCCUUUUACUCCUGAGUAUUAUUUUUAUCCUUCUUAAGUUCUCCUCCAUGAAAUUGAACGAGUUAGAACCAGGUCUUCUUUUUAUAACCACAUGUACCUGGCUUUUCUGUGAUUUUUAUUUUUUUUAAGAUUUAUUUGAGAGGGGGAGGAGGCCAGAGGAA